AUUGAACGCUGGCGGCAGGCCUAACACAUGCAAGUCGAACGGUAGCACAGAGAGCUUGCUCUCGGGUGACGAGUGGCGGACGGGUGAGUAAUGUCUGGGAAACUGCCUGAUGGAGGGGGAUAACUACUGGAAACGGUAGCUAAUACCGCAUAACGUCGCAAGACCAAAGAGGGGGACCUUCGGGCCUCUUGCCAUCAGAUGUGCCCAGAUGGGAUUAGCUAGUAGGUGGGGUAACGGCUCACCUAGGCGACGAUCCCUAGCUGGUCUGAGAGGAUGACCAGCCACACUGGAACUGAGACACGGUCCAGACUCCUACGGGAGGCAGCAGUGGGGAAUAUUGCACAAUGGGCGCAAGCCUGAUGCAGCCAUGCCGCGUGUAUGAAGAAGGCCUUCGGGUUGUAAAGUACUUUCAGCGGGGAGGAAGGUGUUGUGGUUAAUAACCGCAGCAAUGACGUACC
rnacentral:rRNA from 1 species